GCAGUAGCCGCGGGAAUACGUAGGGUGCGAGCGUUAAUCGGAAUUACUGGGCGUAAAGCGUGCGCAGGCGGUUUGUUAAGACAGAUGUGAAAUCCCCGGGCUUAACCUGGGAACUGCAUUUGUGACUGGCCGGCUAGAGUAUGGCAGAGGGAGGUGGAAUUCCACGUGUAGCAGUGAAAUGCGUAGAUAUGUGGAGGAACACCGAUGGCGAAGGCAGCCUCCUGGGCCAAUACUGACGCUCAUGCACGAAAGCGUGGGGAGCAAACAGGAUUAGAUACCCCUGUAGUCCCUGUCUCUUAUAC
rnacentral:rRNA from 1 species